rnacentral:sRNA from 1 species
GAUCCGCCAUCUGCGGUGAGUGUCUGCAUUUCGGCUGCUCUCGGGCUAGCACCCUAUGCUGCGUUCUCUUGUGAUCCUUGACCUAACCCGUCUCUUCCUUUUCCUCAACUUCAGGUGGAGCCGCCACCAAAAUGCAGAUUUUCGUGAAAACCCUUACGGGGAAGACCAUCACCCUCGAGGUUGAACCCUCGGAUACGAUAGAAAAUGUAAAGGCCAAGAUCCAGGAUAAGGAAGGCAAGUAGUAUUUUGUAGUUAAGAAAACUUAACCUGUGGAGACUUCGGCCUACCUGUAGGUGCUAGACAUACCUGCUCUUGGUGAGGGGGGAAGGGGUCAGAUUGACAAAGUGAAAUACUUGUGGAAUAACACAAUAAACAUUGGUGAUCGGGGAGCACAGUACCUAGAUUGGAAUCCUUGAGGUGUAUUUCACUUGCGUGAAUUUGGACACUUAUUUAUUUUGUGUGAGAUGGAGUCUCUGUCGCCCAGGCUGGAGUGCAUUCGCUCGUCCCGGCUCACUGCAGCCUCCGCCU